GCACAACGAGCCAGUAGUCCGGGAAUCGGAUUGACUCAUGGGCAUGUCGGGGUGGCAGUCAGCUUAGGUAGCGCCGGGCGUGUUCGUUGCUCUGCGCGCAGCUGAAUCGCUCACGCGCGCUGGGUAAUUCCCCACAGCCCCCGGCCCCCGAGCCCAUCAGUCUGUCUACGCCAGGAACGAAGGUUCGGGGGCCGCUGCAU
rnacentral:sRNA from 1 species